rnacentral:rRNA from 1 species
GACGAACGCUGGCGGCGUGCUUAACACAUGCAAGUCGAACGGAAAGGCCCUGCUUUUGUGGGGUGCUCGAGUGGCGAACGGGUGAGUAACACGUGAGUAACCUGCCCUUUACUUUGUGAUAACUUCAGGAAACUGGGGCUAAUACCUGAUAGGAGCUCCUGCUGCAUGGUGGGGGUUGGAAAGUUUCGGCGGUUGGGGAUGGACUCGCGGCUUAUCAGCUUGUUGGUGGGGUAGUGGCUUACCAAGGCUUUGACGGGUAGCCGGCCUGAGAGGGUGACCGGCCACAUUGGGACUGAGAUACGGCCCAGACUCCUACGGGAGGCAGCAGUGGGGAAUAUUGCACAAUGGGCGGAAGCCUGAUGCAGCAACGCCGCGUGCGGGAUGACGGCCUUCGGGUUGUAAACCGCUUUCGCCUGUGACGAAGCGUGAGUGACGGUAAUGGGUAAAGAAGCACCGGCUAACUACGUG